rnacentral:lncRNA from 1 species
CUGAUUUUCCUCCAAUCAUCAAAUGUGACAGGUACAUGUUCUCGCACUAGUGGACCUAGGUAUGAAGACAGCUUCACUGAUCCUUCACCAACAGGAUCUCCAAAAUCAUUGAACUCCACUCUUUCUCUAGCAUUUGGAUCUCUGGCGAUGUGUUUCAUCUUGGUUGGACCUCGGUGUUUCUUCUGCUUAGGCUGAACUUCACUCAAUUCCACCUCUCCUUCAGGCUCUUCUUCCUGCUCGUUAACAUCAGUCUCCACAGCUCUGUUAGCCUCUUCCGGCUCUUCCUGCUCGUUAACGUCAGUCUCCACAGCCCUGUUAGCCUCUUCCGGCUCUUCCUGCUCGUUAGCAGCUGCAGUUUCUUCAUUUUCUCGAAGCUCUUCAUGCUCCUUCUCAGCGACAGGCUCCUGAUCUUUUUCAGAAUCAUGCUGCGGUUGACAU